rnacentral:rRNA from 1 species
AUGCAAGUCGAGCGGGGUUAGAUUUUCAAUAUCCUUUCGGGGUAGCGAUUUUCUAACCUAGCGGCGGACGGGUGAGUAACGCGUGGGCAACCUGCCCUAAAGCCUGGGAUAACAGCGGGAAACCGCUGCUAAUACCGGAUAUCUUUACGAAGAGGCAUCUUUUAGUAAAGAAAGGGAAUGAAUGCUUGCAUUCAUUUUACGCUUUAGGAUGGGCCCGCGUCCCAUUAGCUAGUUGGUAAGGUAACGGCUUACCAAGGCAACGAUACGUAGCCGACCUGAGAGGGUGAUCGGCCACACUGGAACUGAGACACGGUCCAGACUCCUACGGGAGGCAGCAGUAGGGAAUCUUCCGCAAUGGACGAAAGUCUGACGGAGCAACGCCGCGUGAGUGAUGAAGGUUUUCGGAUCGUAAAACUCUGUUAUUAGGGAAGAACAAAUGUGUAAGUAACUGUGCACAUCUUGACGGUACCUAAUCAGAAAGCCACGGCUAACUACGUGCCAGCAGCCGCGGUAAUACGUAGGUGGCAAGCGUUAUCCGGAAUUAUUGGGCGUAAAGCGCGCGUAGGCGGUUUCUUAAGUCUGAUGUGAAAGCCCACGGCUCAACCGUGGAGGGUCAUUGGAAACUGGGAAACUUGAGUACAGAAGAGGAAAGUGGAAUUCCAUGUGUAGCGGUGAAAUGCGCAGAGAUAUGGAGGAACACCAGUGGCGAAGGCGACUUUCUGGUCUGUAACUGACGCUGAUGUGCGAAAGCGUGGGGAUCAAACAGGAUUAGAUACCCUGGUAGUCCACGCCGUAAACGAUGAGUGCUAAGUGUUAGGGGGUUUCCGCCCCUUAGUGCUGCAGCUAACGCAUUAAGCACUCCGCCUGGGGAGUACGACCGCAAGGUUGAAACUCAAAUGAAUUGACGG